rnacentral:rRNA from 1 species
GUGGGGAAUAUUGGGCAAUGGGCGCAAGCCUGACCCAGCAACGCCGCGUGAAGGAAGAAGGCUUUCGGGUUGUAAACUUCUUUUAUUAAGGACGAAACAAAUGACGGUACUUAAUGAAUAAGCUCCGGCUAACUACGUGCCAGCAGCCGCGGUAAUACGUAGGGAGCAAGCGUUAUCCGGAUUUACUGGGUGUAAAGGGCGUGUAGGCGGGAGUGCAAGUCAGAUGUGAAAACUAUGGGCUCAACCCAUAGCCUGCAUUUGAAACUGUACUUCUUGAGUACUGGAGAGGCAGGCGGAAUUCCGUGUGUAGCGGUGAAAUGCGUAGAUAUACGGAGGAACACCAGUGGCGAAGGCGGCCUGCUGGACAGCAACUGACGCUGAGGCGCGAAAGCGUGGGGAGCAAACAGGAUUAGAAACCCGAGUAGUCC